CAGCAGCAGCCGCGGGAAUACGGAGGGUGCAAGCGUUAAUCGGAAUUACUGGGCGUAAAGCGUGCGUAGGCGGUUCGUUAAGUCUGUUGUGAAAGCCCCGGGCUCAACCUGGGAAUGGCAAUGGAUACUGGCGAGCUAGAGUGUGUCAGAGGAUGGUGGAAUUCCCGGCGUAGCGGUGAAAUGCGUAGAGAUCGGGAGGAACAUCAGUGGCGAAGGCAGCCAUCUGGGACAACACUGACGCUGAGGCACGAAAGCGUGGGGAGCAAACAGGAUUAGAGACCCCUGUAGUCCCUGUCUCUUAUAC
rnacentral:rRNA from 1 species